rnacentral:misc_RNA from 1 species
UGCAUAUAAUUCUUAUAGAAGUCUAUCUGAUAAAAAAGAUAUAAGUACCACUUAUGUUUCAUUUAACAUAGGCAUUAUUCUAAAUUUAUCAGUAGAAUUCUUGACCAUAAUUAACCUGUUCUUUAAAUUUUGUUAGUAAUUCUUCAGCUGGUUUUGCGCUAUAUAAACCAUUCUUGUUAAUUCUGGAUGCUGAAGUUUCUUGAGAUGUGAUUUGUCUGAAAUCAUAAUCUGACGUAUAAUCACUACAACAAGUCUACUAACUACUGUAGCUUUUGGUAAUUUGUCUUAUUUAUGGCCCCAAUUUGUGCCCAUCAAUCAAUUAUUUUCCAUAACAAAUCUUUAAAUACAUUAUCUUACAUUUUUCUUAUCUGAAAAUCGAUUUUAUAAAUUUUUUUUAAUUGCUUCAUAGGUACAUAAAUCCCAAAGUUAUUUAAAAUAGUUUUAAAGUUUUAAGAGAUAACUAUAUAUGAAGCAGGAAGGUAUUUCCAAGACAAUACUGCAAUAAGUAGUCAUUA